rnacentral:rRNA from 1 species
CUCUACAGCCAUACCACCCCUGAAUGCAUCAGAUCUCGUCUCAUCUCCAAAGCUAAACAGGGUGGAGCCUGGUUAGUACUUGAAUGGAAGACUGCCUGGGAAUGCCAGGUGCUGUAGGGU